UUUGGCUUGUUUUGGCUUCCUGAAGAUAAUGCACGGGUAUUAGGUUAUGGGGCUAUGGUAAGGUUUAAGGUUUUUGGCGUUAGGGUUAAAAUCACUGUCCAAAACCUUUGUAGGAUCUCUUUUCCAAGCUUUUGGAGUUAGUUAGACCAAAAAAAAGAAAAAUGAAAAAAAAAUAUUUGGGGUGUUCAGGCUUCCUGAAGGUAAUACCCGGGUAUUAGGUUAUGGGGCUAUGGUUAGGUUUAAGGUUUUGGGCGUUAGGGUUAAAAUCACUGUCCAAAACCUUUGUAGGAUCUCUUUUCCAACCUUUUGGAGUUAGUUAGACCAAAUAAAAAUGAAUAAUGAAAAAAAAGAUUUGGGGUUUUCGGGCUUCCUGAAGGUAAUACCCGGGUAUUAAGAGUUGGGGCUAGGGUAAGGUUUAAGGUUUUGGCGUUAGGGUUUAAAUCACUGUCCAAAACCUUUGUAGGAACUGUUUUCCAACCUUUGGGAGUUAGUUAGACCAAAUAAAAAUGAAAAAUGAAAAAAAAAUAUUUGGGGUGUUUGGGCUUCCUGAAGGUAAUACCCGGGUAUUAAGAUUUGGGGCUAGGGUAAGGUUAAAGGUUUUGGCGUUAGGGUUUAAAUCACUGUCCAAAACGUUUGUAGGAACUCUUUUCCAACCUUUUGGCGUUAGGGUUAAAAUCACUGUCCAAAACCUUUGUAGGAUCUCUUUUCCAACCUUUUGGAGUUAGUUAGACCAAAUAAAAAUGAAAAAUGAAAAAAAAAUAUUUGGGGUUUUCGGGCUUCCUGAAGGUAAUACCCGGGUAUUAAGAGUUGGGGCUAGGGUAAGGUUUAAGGUUUUGGCGUUAGGGUUUAAAUCACUGUCCAAAACCUUUGUAGGAACUGUUUUCCAACCUUUGGGAGUUAGUUAGACCAAAUAAAAAUGAAAAAUGAAAAAAAAAUAUUUGGGGUGUUUGGGCUUCCUGAAGGUAAUACCCGGGUAUUAAGAUUUGGUGCUAGGGUAAGGUUAAAGGUUUUGGCGUUAGGGUUAAAUCACUGUCCAAAACGUUUGUAGGAACUCUUUUCCAACCUUUUGGAGUUAGUUAGACCAAAAAAUAAUGAAAAAUGAAAAAAAUAUUUGGGGUUUUCGGGCUUCCUGAAGGUAAUACCCGGGUAUUAGGUUAUGGGGCUGGGGUAAGGUUUAAGGUUUUUGGCGUUAGGGUUAAAAUCACUGUCCAAAACCUUUGUAGUAACUCUUUUCCAACCUUUUGGAGUUAGUUAGACCAAAAAAAAAUGAAAAAUGAAAAAAAAAUAUUUGGGGUGUUUGGGCUUCCUGAAGGUAAUACCCGGGUAUUAAGAUUUGGGGCUAGGGUAAGGUUUAAGGUUUUGGCGUCAGGGUUUAAAUCACUGUCCAAAACCUUUGUAGGAACUAUUUUCCAAGCUUUUGGAGUUAGUUAGACCAAAAAGAAAUGAAAAAUGAAAAAAAAAUAUUUGUGGUGUUCGGGCUUCCUGAAGAUAAUACACGGGUAUUAGGUUUUGGGGCUAGGGAAAGGUUUAAGGUUUUUGGCGUUAGGGUUAAAAUCACUGUCCAAAACCUUUGUAGGAACUCUUUUCCAACCAUUUGGAGUUAGUUAGACCAAAUAAAAAUGAAAAAUGAAAAAAAAAAUAUUUGGCUUGUUUUGGCUUCCUGAAGAUAAUGCACGGGUAUUAGGUUAUGGGGCUAUGGUAAGGUUUAAGGUUUUUGGCGUUAGGGUUAAAAUCACUGUCCAAAACCUUUGUAGGAUCUCUUUUCCAAGCUUUUGGAGUUAGUUAGACCAAAAAAAAAGAAAAAUGAAAAAAAAAUAUUUGGGGUGUUCGGGCUUCCUGAAGGUAAUACCCGGGUAUUAGGUUAUGGGGCUAUGGUAAGGUUUAAGGUUUUGGGCGUUAGGGUUAAAAUCACUGUCCAAAACCUUUGUAGGAUCUCUUUUCCAACCUUUUG
rnacentral:lncRNA from 1 species